UAUUGGUCAAUGUGCGCAAGCCUGAACCAGCCAUGCCGCGUGCAGGAAGACGGCCCUAUGGUUGUAAACUGCUUUUGUCAGGGAAUAAACCCCCGCUCGUGAGCGGGGCAGAAGGUACCUGAAGAAUAAGCAUCGGCUAACUCCGUGCCAGCAGCCGCGGUAAUACGGAGGAUGCAAGCGUUAUCCGGAUUCAUUGGGUUUAAAGGGUGCGCAGGCGGAUUGGUAAGUCAGGGGUGAAAUCCCACAGCUCAACUGUGGAACUGCCUUUGAUACUGUCAGUCUAGAGUAGAGUUGAAGUGGGCGGAAUGUGUCAUGUAGCUGUGAAAUGCUUAGAUAUGGCACAGAACACCGAUCGCGAAGGCAGCUCGCUAAGCUAUAACUUACGCUCAUGCACGAAAGCGUGGGGAUCAAACAG
rnacentral:rRNA from 1 species